rnacentral:rRNA from 1 species
UACGUAGGUGACAAGCGUUAUCCGGAAUUACUGGGCGUAAAGCGCACGCAGGCGGCUGCGUAAGUCUGACGUGAAAUCUCCCGGCUUAACCGGGAGCGGUCGUUGGAAACUAUGCGGCUUGAGGCGAUGAGAGGGGUGUGGAAUUCCCGGUGUAGUGGUGGAAUGCGUAGAUAUCGGGAGGAACAUCAGUGGCGAAAGCGGCACCCUGGCAUUAGCCUGACGCUCAGGUGCGAAAGCGUGGGGAGCAAACAGG